rnacentral:tRNA from 1 species
GGAGAGAUGGCUGAGUGGUUGAAAGCAACGGUCUUGAAAACCGUCGUGUCGCAAGACACCCAGGGUUCGAAUCCCUGUUUCUCCGCCA